rnacentral:rRNA from 1 species
GGGUUGUGAGGUUAAGCGACUAAGCGUACACGGUGGAUGCCCUGGCAGUCAGAGGCGAUGAAGGGCGUGCUAAUCUGCGAUAAGCGCCGGUAAGGUGAUAUGAACCGUUAUAACCGGCGAUACCCGAAUGGGGAAACCCAGUGUGACUCGUCACACUAUCAUUAACUGAAUCCAUAGGUUAAUGAGGCGAACCGGGGGAACUGAAACAUCUAAGUACCCCGAGGAAAAGAAAUCAACCGAGAUUCCCCCAGUAGCGGCGAGCGAACGGGGAGGAGCCCAGAGCCUGAAUCAGCAUGUGUGUUAGUGGAAGCGUCUGGAAAGGCGCGCGAUACAGGGUGACAGCCCCGUACACAAAAGCGCAUGUGCUGUGAGCUCGAUGAGUAGGGCGGGACACGUGGUAUCCUGUCUGAAUAUGGGGGGACCAUCCUCCAAGGCUAAAUACUCCUGACUGACCGAUAGUGAACCAGUACCGUGAGGGAAAGGCGAAAAGAACCCCGGCGAGGGGAGUGAAAAAGAACCUGAAACCGUGUACGUACAAGCAG